UCCAGCCCCUAGCCUGCUGUGCUAUGCUGCUUGGAGACAGGGACCACACUGCUUCUGGUGUUGGGCCAACACCGGUUAAUGCCUGAGGAAGGAACUUAACACUAUUACCCUAACAUCUACCCAGUGAGCUUUUCAGAAGACAGCAGAGGUGACUGUGAAGAAGCAUGGAAUCUUGAUGGAGAGAUGAGUCCCUCAGAAUACCUUCAUGUAAUUAAGAUAGCCUCACUUUUCAUUCCUGAUUCAAGGGAAAAAUGAAUAAAGAC